rnacentral:rRNA from 1 species
AAUGGCUGCAGUAAUUUGACUGUACAAAGGUAGCAUAAUCAUUAGUUUUUUAAUUAAAAGCUUGUAUGAAAGGUUGGACGAAAUAAAAUCUGUCUCUUUUUAAUAAAAAUUAGAAUUUAAUAUUUAAGUUAAAAAGCUUAAAUUUUUAUAAAAGACGAGAAGACCCUAUAGAGUUUUAUAUUUUUAAUUUAAUAAUUAAUUUAGAUUUAUUAAUUUUAUUUUAUUAAAAUUAUUUUAUUGGGGUAAUAGAAAGAUUAAAAAAAUUCUUUUUUUAAUAAAUCAUUAAUAUAUGAAAAUUUAUGAUCCAUAAAAUUGUGAAUAUAAGAUUAAAUUACCUUAGGGAUAACAGCGUAAUUUUUUUUUAGAGUUCUUAUCGAUAAAAAAGUUUGCGACCUCGAUGUUGGAUUAAAGAUUAGUUUAGGUGUAGAAGUUUAAAUUUUUGGUCUGUUCGACCAUUAAAUCUUUACAUGAUCUGAGUUCAAACCGGUGUAAGCCAGGUUGGUUUCUAUCUUUAUAGUAUUUUUAUAUUUUAGUACGAAAGGACCAAAUAUAAUGUAUAUGAAUAUUUAUUUUAAUGAAUAU